rnacentral:rRNA from 1 species
UACGGGGGGAGCAAGCGUUGUUCGGAUUUACUGGGCGUAAAGGGCGCGUAGGCGGUCGUGACAAGUCACUUGUGAAAUCUCCGGGCUUAACUCGGAACGGUCAAGUGAUACUGUCGUGCUAGAGUACAGAAGGGGCAACUGGAAUUCCUGGUGUAGCGGUGGAAUGCGCAGAUAUCAGGAGGAACACCGGUGGCGAAGGCGGGAUCCUGGGCCAGUACUGACGCUGAGGAGCGAAAGCGUGGGGAGCAAACAGG